ACGAACGCUGGCGGCGCGCCUAAUACAUGCAAGUCGAGCGAGAAGACGUAGCAAUACGUUUGUAAAGCGGCGAACGGGUGAGGAAUACAUGGGUAACCUACCCUCGAGUGGGGAAUACUAGCCGAAAGGUUAGCUAAUACCGCGUACGCUCCUUGGACUUCGGUUCAGGGAGGAAAGCGAUACCGUGGGUAUCGCGCUCUUGGAUGGGCUCAUGUCCUAUCAGCUUGNGGUGAGGUAACGGCUCACCAAGGCUUCGACGGGUAGCUGGUCUGAGAGGACGAUCAGCCACACUGGCACUGCGACACGGGCCAGACUCCUACGGGAGGCAGCAGUAAGGAAUAUUGCGCAAUGGGCGAAAGCCUGACGCAGCGACGCCGCGUGAGGGAUGACGGCCU
rnacentral:rRNA from 1 species